rnacentral:rRNA from 1 species
UACGAAGGACCCGAGCGUUAAUCGGAAUUACUGGGCUUAAAGGGUGCGUAGGCGGACCAGAAAGUGCUUUGUGAAAGCCCCCGGCUCACCCGGGGAACAGCGGGGCAUACUACUGGUCUUGAGGAAGGUAGGGGCUGCCAGAACUGUAGGUGGAGCGGUGAAAUGCGUAGAUAUCUACAGGAAUGCCGAUGGUGAAGACGGGCAGCUGGGCCUUUCCUGACGCUGAGGCACGAAAGCGUGGGGAGCAAACAGG